rnacentral:rRNA from 1 species
CGCAGCCGCGGUAAUUCCAGCUCCAAUAGCGUAUAUUAAAGUUGUUGCAGUUAAAAAGCUCGUAGUUGAAUUUCGGGAUCAAUAUGUUGGUCGUGCCUUGGUACGUACUAUCUUAUUGGUUUCUCCCUUCUGACGAACCAUGAUGUCAUUAAUUUGAUGUCUUGGGGAAUCAGGACUGUUACUUUGAAAAAUUAGAGUGUUUAAAGCAGGCUCACGCUUGAAUAUAUUAGCAUGGAAUAAUGAAAUAGGACGUUUGAUUCUAUUUUGUUGGUUUCUAGGAUCGAUGUAAUGAUUAAUAGGGAUAGUUGGGGGCAUUAGUAUUCAAUUGUCAGAGGUGAAAUUCUUGGAUUUAUUGAAGACUAACUACUGCGAAAGCAUUUGCCAAGGAUGUUUUCAUUAAUCAAGAACGAAAGUUAGGGGAUCGAAGACGAUCAGAUACCGUCGUAGUCU